UACGAAGGGUGCAAGCGUUAAUCGGAAUUACUGGGCGUAAAGCGCGCGUAGGUGGUUCAGUAAGUUGGAAGUGAAAUCCCCGGGCUCAACCUGGGAACUGCUUUCAAAACUGCUGAGCUAGAGUACGGUAGAGGGUGGUGGAAUUUCCUGUGUAGCGGUGAAAUGCGUAGAUAUGCGGAGGAACACCAAUGGCGAAGGCGACCACCUGGACUGAUACUGACACUGAGGUGCGAAAGCGUGGGGAGCAAACAGG
rnacentral:rRNA from 1 species